rnacentral:rRNA from 1 species
GUGGGGAAUAUUGCACAAUGGGGGAAACCCUGAUGCAGCGACGCCGCGUGAACGAAGAAGGUAUUCGUAUCGUAAAGUUCUGUCCUAUGGGAAGAUAAUGACAGUACCAUAGAAGAAAGCUCCGGCUAAAUACGUGCCAGCAGCCGCGGUAAUACGUAUGGAGCGAGCGUUGUCCGGAAUUAUUGGGCGUAAAGGGUACGCAGGCGGUUUAAUAAGUCGAAUGUUAAAGAUCGGGGCUCAACCCCGUAAAGCAUUGGAAACUGAUAAACUUGAGUAGUGGAGAGGAAAGUGGAAUUCCUAGUGUAGUGGUGAAAUACGUAGAUAUUAGGAGGAAUACCAGUAGCGAAGGCGACUUUCUGGACACAAACUGACGCUGAGGUACGAAAGCGUGGGGAGCAAACAGGA